ACUAGAGUAGCACUCGCAUAUCAAUAAGCGGAGGAAAAGAAACUAACAAGGAUUCCCCUAGUAACGGCGAGUGAAGCGGGAAGAGCUCAAAUUUGAAAUCUUAAAGGGUUUCCCUUUACGAAUUGUAGUUUAAAGAAGUGUUUUCUGUUGAGGUUUUGGUAAAAGUUCUUUGGAAUAGGACAUCAUAGAGGGUGAGAAUCCCGUAUUUGACCUUUACUUUCAACUUUGUGAUACACUUUCAAAGAGUCGGAUUGUUUGGGAAUGCAGUCCAAAAUGGGUGGUAAAUUUCAUCUAAAGCUAAAUAUUGGCGAGAGACCGAUAGCGAACAAGUACCGUGAGGGAAAGAUGAAAAGAACUUUGAAAAGAGAGUUAAACAGUACGUGAAAUUGUCAAAAGGGAAGCGUUUGACACCAGUGUUGUUUUUCUGAAAAUCAAUUAAAGAACUGUUUAUGCUAAGUUGUUUAGACUUUAUCAGCUAUCUGCUUAGUUUUGAGCUUUUCUUUAAUGCACUUUUCAGUUAACAAGUCAACAUCAAUUUCUUUUGCUGUAAAAAAGCUUGAGGAAGGUGGCUUGAGAUUCGUCUUAAGUGUUUAUAGCCUCUUGCCUAUGCAGUCGGGGAGAUUGAGGUCUGCAGCGUAGAUCCUUCGGGGCUAAAUGCAUUUGUGCUAAGUUAUAGCAUUUUAUAGACAACUUGUUGACUAUGAUUUGUCUUGUAGCUUACUCGCUUAUGUUAUUUUACCUACGCUUAGGAUGUUGAACUACUGAGACAUAGA
rnacentral:rRNA from 1 species